UACGAAGGGUGCAAGCGUUACUCGGAAUUACUGGGCGUAAAGCGUGCGUAGGUGGUUUGUUAAGUCUGAUGUGAAAGCCCUGGGCUCAACCUGGGAAUUGCAUUGGAUACUGGCAGGCUAGAGUGCGGUAGAGGAUGGCGGAAUUCCCGGUGUAGCAGUGAAAUGCGUAGAGAUCGGGAGGAACAUCUGUGGCGAAGGCGGCGAUCUGGGAAGAUACUGACGCUGAGGUGCGAAAAGCGUGGGGAGCGAACAGG
rnacentral:rRNA from 1 species